rnacentral:rRNA from 1 species
GGAGUCUGGGCCGUGUCUCAGUCCCAAUGUGGCCGUCCGGCCUCUCAGCCCGGCUACUGAUCGUCGCUUUGGUGGGCCGUUACCCCGCCAACUGGCUAAUCAGACGCGGGCCCAUCCCGUACCACCGGAGUUUUUCACACUGCAUGAUGCCAUGCUGUGCGCUUAUGCGGUAUUAUCAGUCGUUUCCAACUGCUAUCCCCCGGUACGGGGCAGGUUGCCCACGCGUUACUCACCCGUUCGCCACUAAGUUACCUCAUGUUCUCUGCCGAAGCUUCAAACGGCGAAGUAACCCCGUUCGACUUGCAUGUGUUAGGCACGCCGCCAGCGUUCAUC